rnacentral:rRNA from 1 species
UUAUUUAAGAGUUUGAUCCUGGCUCAGGAUGAACGCUAGCGGUGUGUUUAAGAUAUGCAAGUCGAACGUCCUGACAGUGCUUGCACUGUCUGGUAGUGGCGGACGGCUGAGUAACACGUAGGAACCUACCUUUCGGUAGAGAAUAGCUUCGGGAAACCGGGGGUAAUACUCUAUACCCAGGUGUCGCAAGAUACUUGGAAAGGGCAUAACUGCUCGCCGUAAGAGGGGCCUGCGGCCUAUCAGGUAGUUGGUGGGGUAAUAGCCUACCAAGCCUAUGACGGGUAGCUGACCUCAUGAGGGUGAUCAGCCAGAGGAGCACUGAGACACGGGCUCCACACCUACGGGUGGCAGCAAUCAAGAAUCGUUGGCAAUGGGCGAAAGCCUGACCACGCGACACCGCGUGUAGGAAGAAAUCUCUUGGGAUGUAAACUACUGUGGUAGGGGAAGAAGUCUCGGCGAAUGCCGGAUUGACGGUACCCUACUAGAAAGUGGCCGCUAACUUCGUGCCAGAAGCGUCGGUGAUACGGGGGCCACGAGCGUUAUCCGGUGUGACUGGGCGUAAAGGGUCUGUAGGCGUCCCGAUAAGUUUUCGUUUAAAGAUCAAGGCUCAACCUUGAAACAGGUGAAAAAACUAUCGGGAUAGAGUUAUUUUUAGGGAAAUCGGAAUUGACGGAGGAGUAGUGAAAUGCGUUGAUAUCGUCAAGAACACCAAUGGCGAAGGCAGAUUUCUGGAAAAUAACUGACGCUGAAAGACGAAAGCUAGGGGAGCGAACCGGAUUAGAGACCCGGGUAGUCCUAGCCCUAAACGAUGCUCGCUAGUUGCAUUUUCUCCCGAUUUAUUUUGGGAGAGGGUGUGGCGAAGCUAACGCGUUAAGCGAGCCGCCUGGGGAGUACGACCGCAAGGUUGAAACUCAAAGGAAUUGGCGGGGAGACACACAACUAGUNNNNNNNNNNNNNNNNNNNNNNNNNNNNNNNNNNNNNNUUCGUUCCGUGAGGAGUGCCCUUAAGUGGGACAACGAACGUAACCCUUGUCCCGAGUUACACGUAUCUCGGGAGACUGCCCCGCCGAUGGCGGGGAGGAAGGAGAGGCAGACGUCAAGUCAGCAUGACGCUUAUGCCCUGGGCGACACACAUGUUACAAUGAGAUGGACAAUGGGUUGCUAAACGGUAACGCGGAGCUAAUCCUAUAAACCAUCUCUCAGUGGGGAUUGAGGUCUGAAACUCGACCUCAUGAACGUGGAAUUAGUAGUAAUCGCGGAUCAGCCAUGCCGCGGUGAAUACGUUCUUGUCUCUUGCACACACUGCCCGUCAAGCCAACAAAGUCGGGAGUACCUGAACCCUGCUUUUGCGGGGGAGGGUAAGACCGGCGAUGGGGACUAAGUCGUAACAAGGUACCCGUUCUGGAAGGAGCGGGUGAAUCACCUCCUUU